UUGGGAAACUCUUGGAUAUUCAUUGCAUUUUAAUUUAUAUGUUGUUUCUUCUUUGAGAGUCACAUUGUAUUUUAAUAUCUUAAAGCCUCCGAGUGACCCUAUGGUUAAAAACCCAGUUGAACUUCAUUUAUUUAACUGUGAUUUCCUUUUUUCUUGUGAUCUUUUUUUUCCUAUUCUGCAAAACUAACAUUUUACAGAACACGCUUUGGUGUGUUGAACAGAAAAUCCAGAUAAGAAAACUGAAGAAUCUGCUGAGCCUCAAGCUGAACCCAGAGCUGUUUAAUCUAAAAUGGAGGCUCUUUGACAGUUCUGCACACAUGGAGGCUAAAUAUUUCUCCAAAUCAGUAGAUAAAACAAACUCCCUGACCUCAACUUACUUCCUGGCGCCUGGAGUCCUGAGUAGCUGAUGAAGAGUGUCUGUCUGCUAUCAAGUGACAGAACACAUGCAGACUGGCUCCUACACCCAGGACCAUGUGGUACCUGAUCCUGUCUCCAUCUUCCGAGUUAAGAUUUUGGCCACAACCUGAAGAUCUAAGUCCAGAGGGCAGUGGGCCAGGGUUAGAUACCAUGAAAUGCCAUUGAAUCAGCCUUGAAGGGCAACUGUGGCUUCUUAGUGCAUGAGGCAAUGUGCUGCAGCCAGAGGCCGGUGACAGCAAUGAUCACAGACCCGGGGCAAAUCACAUCGCUAACGUCAUCUCUGAAAUGGAGAGGUGGCUACAUCACUGACUUAAGUAAAUACUAUGCACAGACUUGAGACCUUACACAGCCGACCAAGCAGGGAGCUAAUCCAUCAAAGGGAACCUGAAGCUUCUGACCUAUGAGCUUGUUGAGUGGACGCCUUCACUAUUAGACAGUGGCAUCUACUGACUGUUACACACUGCCACCUUGCAGAUCAAAUAAGAAUUAGCUAAGGCUAAGGACUCAAAGAAUUGUUAAAUGGGAGAUGGGAGGAUUCCCAUGGAUAGUUUAGUAAGACCUGGAAUAAAUUAAUAGCAGAAGAGAGAUCGCUGAGAUGGGAAUGUGUUUUAGAGUGUUAUACACACUUAAUAAAAAUUAAUUUCAUAACA